rnacentral:rRNA from 1 species
CCCUAGUAACUGCGAGUGAAGCGGGAAAAGCUCAAAUUUAAAAUCUGGCGGUCUUCGGCCGUCCGAGUUGUAAUCUAGAGAAGUGUUACCCGUGCUGGACCGUGUAUAAGUCUCCUGGAAUGGAGCGUCAUAGAGGGUGAGAAUCCCGUCUUUGACACGGACUACCAGUGCUUUUGUGGUGCGCUCUCAAAGAGUCGAGUUGUUUGGGAAUGCAGCUCAAAAUGGGUGGUAAAUUCCAUCUAAAGCUAAAUAUUGGCGAGAGACCGAUAGCGAACAAGUACCGUGAGGGAAAGAUGAAAAGAACUUUGGAAAGAGAGUUAAACAGUACGUGAAAUUGCUGAAAGGGAAACGCUUGAAGUCAGUCGCGUUGGCCGGAAAUCAACCUUGCUUCUGUUGGGUGUACUUUCUGGUUGACGGGCCAGCAUCAGUUUUGACCGGUGGAAAAAGGUCAAGGGAAUGUGGCAUCUUCGGAUGUGUUAUAGCCCUUGGUCGUAUACAUCGGUUGGGACUGAGGAAUUCAGCACGCCGAAAGGCCGGGUCUUUGACCACGUUCGUGCUUAGGAUGCUGGCAUAAUGGCUUUAAUCGACCCGUCUUGAAACACGGACCAAGGAGUCUAACAUGCCUGCGAGUAUUUGGGUGCAAAACCCGGAUGCGCAAUGAAAGUGAAAGUUGGGAUCCUUGUCAUGGGGAGCACUGACGCCCGGACCUGAAGUUUUCUGACGGCCCCGCGGUAGAGCAUGUAUGUUGGGACCCGAAAGAUGGUGAACUAUGCCUGAAUAAGGUGAAGCCAGAGGAAACUCUGGUGGAGGCUCGUAGCGAUUCUGACGUGCAAA